rnacentral:lncRNA from 1 species
UAUAGAGAGAGGUUUGAAUCUACCACUAUGGUCAUGGACUUGUCUACUGUUCCUUUUGGUUAUGCCAGGUUUUGCUUAGGAUGCAUGUUAUUUCAUGCCACAAGUUUAGAACAUUGCAUUUCUGUUUGGUUGUCACCUUCUGUCAUUCUAGAAUGUCCCUUAUCUGUAUUACUGCUUCUUGUCUGACGUUAGCAUUGCCACAAUAGGUUUUUCUUGUCAUUUUAGUUUCAAGUCUCUGUAGCCUUAUGUUACAUAUGUGUCUUAUAUGUUAUUCUUGCAUUAAUUCUUUGGAUAAUUUCAUUCCCUAGACAUUUGCUGAUGACCUUCAUGCCAGAUGCCCACUUGAGAGCCUGGAGAGAGUGGCAUGUAGCACUUUCUGCCUGCUGAGUGGCCUGCACACACCCCUGGGAUCUCUGGCUCCAGAGCCUGUGUUUAUCCUGCUAUGGCAAACCACACUGCCUUCUCUAAGGCAGCAUCUCCUGGUGGGAAGAGUAUCAUCUGCUUUGAAGUUCUGUGAAUGGACCAGAGGAAGUGAAAUGAAGAAAAGAGACCAAAUAGGAGGCUGUUGCUGUGGUCCAGGCAGGGGGUGCUGAUGGCAGGAGAUGCUGGAGGCCAGAGCCAGGGCGGGCAGUCACUGGUCAGCAGAGGAUGCCAUAUGUCAUUUGACAGAUUUGGAAGUUGGAAGAACGUGCACCGCCCAUUUCCUUCAGGAUAAGAGCGUGGAGGGGCGGGAAAGCCCCCUCUCUGUGUGGGGCGCUCUGGAAACCCAAAUCGCAAAGUCGUCUCUUCGUUAUUUGUGAAAGAAUGGACAAUUGUGUACCUGGUUAGAAAUCUUUAAUUUCACAUUUCUUAAACAUCAGAUUUUAAAAAACGGGUAGGUCAAUCGUUAGAGAUACUGCAUGUGGGGCGCGGGGCUGCGUUGGAGGGUGGCACCGCCUGGUGUGGAGAGCAGGCGUCGCGCGUGCGCUUAGCUGACUCUGAGGGCUCCAGAGGAGAGAGCA